UGCCCCCUCGGCAAUGGUCAAAGAGACACUUUGUAUUGUAUUGUAUUGUUCUUAUACCAGUCAGGGGCAGAACAGAUGGCAGUCUUUUGUUCAUCCUAGCUUGAUGCCUGGCUUGGUGACCAAAGCUGUCUUAUGCCUAGGACUCCCAA